rnacentral:rRNA from 1 species
GAUGAACGCUGGCGGCGUGCCUAAUACAUGCAAGUCGAGCGAACGGACGAGACGCUUGCUUCUCUGCUGUUAGCGGCGGACGGGUGAGUAACACGUGGAUAACCUACCUAUAAGACUGGGAUAACUUCGGGAAACCGGAGCUAAUACCGGAUAAUAUUUUGAACCGCAUGGUUCAAAAGUGAAAGACGGUCUUGCUGUCACUUAUAGAUGGAUCCGCGCUGCAUUAGCUAGUUGGUAAGGUAACGGCUUACCAAGGCAACGAUGCAUAGCCGACCUGAGAGGGUGAUCAGCCACACUGGAACUGAGACACGGUCCAGACUCCUACGGGAGGCAGCAGUAGGGAAUCUUCCGCAAUGGGCGAAAGCCUGACGGAGCAACGCCGCGUGAGUGAUGAAGGUCUUCGGAUCGUAAAACUCUGUUAUUAGGGAAGAACAGAUGUGAAAGUAAAUGUGCACAUCUUGACGGUACCUAAUCAGAAAGCCACGGCUAACUACGUG